AACUUGAAUUAACUUAAAUACUUUAUUUUUUUGUUUAUUGUGUAAUUUUAAUUAAAUUAUUAUUUUUUAUUUAAAUUAUUUUUGUUUUAGUUUAUUUGUAUUGUAAUAGGUUUAUUUUAUUAUUAAAAAUAAAUAUUAAGUUUUUGUACCUUGUGUGUCAGGGUUAAUUAAAUUAAAGAAUUAAUUUUUUUGUCUCGAAUUUAAAAGGGCUAAGGUUAAAUGUAUUUAAUUGUUUUAUAAAUUUUUAUAAUUUAACUUUUGAAAUGAAAUGUUAAUCGUUUUUAAAUAUAUCUAGUUUUUCAAGAAAUGAAUUUAAUUCAGAAUUUAAUUAAAAAUUUAUUGUUUUUAAGUAUUUUUUUAUUAAUUUUUAAUAUGAUUGGGGUUAAGCUCUAUUAUAAAUUAUUAUUAUAUUUUUUAUUUUAAUAGAUUUUUUGGAUUAAUAUUUUCUAUAAUAAUUAAUUUUGUAGUUAAUUUAUUAAAUUAAGUUUUUAUGAGUAUAUAAAUUAUUUAUUGAAAUAUUUUGUGAAAUUUUAUUUUUGAUGAAAUAAUGAUUAAAUUAGUAAAUUUAAUAGUUUAAAUUUAUUUUAUUAUGUUAUGUAAAUUAAAGGAACUAGGCAAAUAUGUUUUCCACCUGUUUAUUAAAAACAUGUCUUUUUGAUAAUAAUUUAAAGUCGUACCUGCCCGAUGAUAUAGUUGAAUGGCCGCAGUAUUUUGACUGUGCUAAGGUAGCAUAAUCAUUAGUUUUUUAAUUUAGGACUGGAAUGAAAGGUUUAAUGAGAAAACUUCUGUCUCUAAUUUAUUUUUGUCGAAAUUUAUUUUUAAGUUAAAAAGCUUAAUUGGUUUUAAAAGACGAUAAGACCCUAUAGAGUUUGAUUGAUUUUAUACAUUUUUAUAUUGGUAAAUAUAUUAUUUUGGUUAAUUUUAAUUUGAUUGGGGUGAUUGAAAAAUAUAUAUAACUUUUUUUUUUGUUAACAUUGAUAAAUGAGUUUUUGAUCCAUUAUUAGUGAUUACAAGAUAAAAUUACCUUAGGGAUAACAGCGUAAUUUUUUUUGAGAGUUCUAAUCGAAAGAAAAGAUUGCGACCUCGAUGUUGGAUUAAGAUAAAAUUUUGGUGAAGAAGCUAAAAAUUUAGGUCUGUUCGACCUUUAAAAUCUUACAUGAUCUGAGUUUAAACCGGCGUGAGCCAGGUUGGUUUCUAUCUUUAAAUAUAAAAAUGACUUAGUACGAAAGGACCAGUCUAAUUUAUUU
rnacentral:rRNA from 1 species